rnacentral:rRNA from 1 species
UACAGGGGGUGCAAACGUUGCUCGGAAUCAUUGGGCGUAAAGCGCACGUAGGCGGUCUGUUAUGUCGGAUGUGAAAGCCCUUGGCUCAACUGAGGAAGUGCAUCCGAAACUGGCAGGCUAGAGUACUAAAGAGGGUCGCGGAAUUCCCGGUGUAGAGGUGAAAUACGUAGAUAUCAGGUGGAAUACCGGUGGCGAAGGCGGCAUGCCCAACAGUCGAACCGCAUGACGGCUAGUAACGGAAAAGCUGAUGGGGAAAGCCAAAGCUAGGGGGAAGUUC